GGGGAAUUUUCCGCAAUGGGCGAAAGCCUGACGGAGCAACGCCGCGUGUGGGAAGAAGGCUCUUGGGCUGUCAACCACUUUUCUCAGGGAAGAAGUCCUGACGGUACCUGAGGAAUCAGCCUCGGCUAACUCCGUGCCAGCAGCCGCGGUAAUACGGAGGAGGCAAGCGUUAUCCGGAAUUAUUGGGCGUAAAGCGUCCGCAGGGGGCGCAUCAAGUCUGCUGUUAAAGGUCGGAGCUAAACUCCGGUAGAGCAGUGGAAACUGGUGCGCUAGAGG
rnacentral:rRNA from 1 species